GCGGGGACCACGAGCACUGCCAUCUAUGCCAAGUCAGGAGACAGCAGAGGAGAUUCCUGCUCCAAAGAGUAGGAAAAAGAAGGCCAAGAGGGAUGUGGAGAGUGUGGAUGAACCUGACGAUGGUGGAAUGGAAAUGGGAGGGCUUACCAGUCGCAGACAAUCCGAAUGUCAGGAACCUUUGACCCCAGAACCCAUGGACAAUCCGCCACAAAGGAGGAAAAAGAAGAAGAAAGCACAAGCA